rnacentral:rRNA from 1 species
AUUGAACGCUAGCGGGAUGCCUUACACAUGCAAGUCGAACGGAGUGGCGAACGGGCGAGUAAUGUAUCGGAACGCGCCUAGUAGCGGGGGAUAACUACCCGAAAGCGUAGUUAAUACCGCAUACUAUCGGAGCGGCCGAUAUCGGAGUAGCUAGUGGGUGGGGUAACGGCUCACCAAGGCGACGAUCCGUACCUGGUUUGAGAGGACGACCAGCCACACUGGGACUGAGACACGGCCCAGACUCCUACGGGAGGCAGCAGUGGGGAAUUUUGGACAAUGGGGGAAACCCUGAUCCAGCCAUCCCGCGUGUGCGAUGAAGGCCUUCGGGUUGUAAAGCACUUUUGGCAGGAAGGCGGUACCUGCAGAAUAAGCACCGGCUAACUACGUGCCAGCAGCCGCGGUAAUAC